rnacentral:rRNA from 1 species
UACAGAGGGGGCAAGCGUUGUUCGGAGUUACUGGGCGUAAAGGGCGCGUAGGCGGCCUGCUAAGUCGAACGUGAAAUCCCCGGGCUCAACCCGGGAACUGCGUCCGAUACUGGCAGGCUUGAAUCCGGGAGAGGGAUGUGGAAUUCCAGGUGUAGCGGUGAAAUGCGUAGAUAUCUGGAGGAACACCGGUGGCGAAGGCGGCAUCCUGGACCGGUAUUGACGCUGAGGCGCGAAAGCCAGGGGAGCAAACGGG